rnacentral:rRNA from 1 species
GACGAACGCUGGCGGCGUGCCUAAUACAUGCAAGUCGAACGCAGUGGGGACGGGUGAGUAACACCUGGGUAACCUCCCAUCAGAGGGGAUAACACGUGGAAACAGGUGCUAAACCGCUACUGAUGGAUGGACCCGCGGUGCAUUAGGUAGUUGGUGGGGGAACGGCCCACCAAGGCCACGAUGCAUAGCCGGUCUGAGAGGAUGACCGGCCACACGGGGACUGAGACACGGCCCAGACUCCUACGGGAGGCAGCAGUGGGGAAUCUUCGGCAAUGGGCGAAAGUCUGACGGAGCAACGCCGCGUGAGUGAAGAAGGUUUUCGGAUCGUAAAGUUCUGUUAUCAGAGAGGCGGUAUCUAACCAGAAAGCCACGGCUAACUACGUGCCAGCCGCCGCGGUAAUUC